rnacentral:lncRNA from 1 species
UCUUCGUAUUUGUAUUUUCACUUUCAAUUUAUUCCUCGUUUGUAGAAACGGUGAGGUUCCAAUUUCCUAUAUUUAAACCCCAAAUUCAAGCAAUAAAAGUAAAGAGUUUUCUGCCAUUGAAGUUACACUAACUUAUAUUACUAGGAAACCUAUCAUACCUAUAUAUAAAUAUAUCUUCUAUAGAAGGAAGCGACUAAGACAGAUAAAACUAAACUACAUAAUGACCUUAUACAAGACCCAACAAAUUUGACAACACUUCCACUAAUUCAUUUUUUUUUUUUUUUGUUAAUAGGUAUCAGUUCCAUUGUGAAGUCAAAACUAAGUAUGCAAAAAUGAGUUACUGAGUAACUAUUUCCACGUUCUAAAAGGCUCCUUCUUUAUCAAAUCAUAACUAAGACCAGGAGUUCUAGUCAGGUGUCUCGACUAUUCCAAGGCUGGACCAAACUUUCAGUAUAUAAGGGGUGAACAAAUCCUAAGUAUGCAUCAAGUGAGAAUCGGCCAGCGAUCUUGACCAACAUGGCCAAACGACUACAACCACUUGGUUAAUAUAUUGGAGGGUUGUAGUAAUUAAACACUACACCAGCAAUUUUGACAACUUAUAGGAUUAUAAUGAUUCAUUAUAGAUACGUUCCAAAGAGGUUCUUAUUUCUUAUAUGAAGACAAGUUUUGAGGGAUUUUCAAUUUCCUAGAGGCACCAAAGAAACAAGGCUGUGUUAUUGACAAUUUCUAUGACAAAAGACACAAGAUACAAAGGUUGUGUGAUUGUCGAUUUUCACAACAAAAGUUACAAGGUAGUGGAUUCAGAUAAUCACCAAGUAAUAGGUCCACGACAAAGAUAGGAAUUCAUAGAAGAUCAACAAAUAGUCUUAUAUAGUCAAUAGCUGCAGAAUGUGGUAUAUACAUUAUUCAGCAUUAACCCCAUAUCAAUCCUAUAGAUCUCCCGUAGGUGCAUUGCAUUGCAUACAAAUCCGAGAGAUCCAAUGAAUUUUAAUCACUCUGAAAAGAGAGACAUUAAUCAUUAGUCAACUCUUCAAAAACUUAAGGAAUCUCUAAAGCAAAGUAACAAUCACAGAUGGCUUGAAACUUCACUAAACAACAUCGAGCACGCAUCAGAUCGUAUCAAACAAAUCGUGAAGGACAUGCAAAUUAUUUCCAAAGAAAAUAAUAAAAUCCAUGCAGAAAUUUUUUUAUAAGAAAUAUAGAGAGAGAAAUGAACAAAAGUUAGAAGCUUUAUCUUCAUCACGACAUUGUUCUUCCUUAAAUUAGGUUAUCUCAUGUAUCUCUCAUGGUCAUAGAAAAAGACACUAACAAACACAGAACCAAGAAACAACAAGAGAUUCGCCGGAAAAAAAAAAAACGGUUUAUUAAUUGUUUUUUUAUUUUUGUCUUUUAUUUUUAUUUUUCAGAAAAGUAAAGAGCACAAAACUGAAGAUUAAAGGGGAAAUAAAUCGAAAUCCAGAUAAGGAAGAGGCGUACUUAUCGCCGGAGGAGAAGCUGUAGAGCUUGCCGGAAGCAGAGACGACGAGAAGAGCGACGGAUGCGUCACAGAGAACAGAAAGCUGACGAGCUUUCUCGAUGAGACCGUUGCGACGUUUGGAGAAGGUGACUUGUCGGCUACUUUUGUUCUCAAUUCGCUUGAUUUCUAGUUUUUUUCUCCCCAUGGCUUCUGUCUCCGAGAGGGCUUUAUUCCCUAAUUUGAUCCUCAGGUUGGGUUCGAAGUCGCCGGAGAUACUAAGCGUUUUUCUCUUUCCUUUUUUUUUUCUAUUUUUUUUCUAUUUUUUUUAUUUCUUUCUAUUUUUUGUGCCUAUCUACUUUUUCUUCGUUGGGCAAGUUUUUUUUUUUUUUGGGGUAAACGAGAGUGAUGAAAAAAAAAAUAUGUGACUAAAAACGUUGCGUUUUGAAGACAAGGUAGCCACGUGUACCGCAUGACGAGCGCAUUUGCUGCUCUUGCGUUGCCUUCCCCUGCGGAUUGAACUAUUGUAGAAAGAGCUCUAAACCCCCACUCUCCAUCAUCUUUGAACUCUGUCGUCGACAUAUCAAAACCUUAAAACUGGUUCUCUUUAUCGCUAGCUAUUGUAUAACACCUUUUCAUAAUUUGGUAAGACACGAGUUAAGACUUUUACAUAAACAACCACACAUAAGGAAUUCAGUCAUUUGUUCUUUGAUCUUUAUUCUAAAUUUAACCCAAAUCUUUGGCUACCAUCUGAUGUAGACCAUUACAUAUCUGAUGUUUUGAACUAAAGCUAUUUUGCUCAACUCGCAUACAAUUUCAUUGGACCAAACCAAACCUACAAAGACUUUCAAUUGGAUUGUAUUUACCACAAAAGUGUACUAAAAUCAAAGUUUCUAUAGAUCUUGUAAGCAUAAGUUUGUUCCCUCGCAUAAUCAGGUUGUUUUUUUUUUAUCAUUGCCACAUUAUAGCUACAUGUCUAUACUGUUGGUGUACUCAGUAGUUUUUUUUUUUUUUUUUUUUUUUUCAUGGUG